rnacentral:ncRNA from 1 species
AUUUUACAACUUAUGUUUGGUGCUUUGUAAGCUUAAUAGGGAAAAUGGUGAAAGUCCAUUACAGCCCCCGCUACUGUAAGUGAGGAUGAAAACAGCAAAUACCACUGGAAUAUUCUGGGAAGGUGCUGUAAGUAAAGAGAAUCACGAGUCAGGAGACCUGCCAAACUUGUAACUAACCU